rnacentral:rRNA from 1 species
GACGUAGGGCGCGAGCGUUGUCCGGAUUUAUUGGGCGUAAAGAGCUCGUAGGCGGCUUGUCGCGUCGACUGUGAAAUCCCGCGGCUCAACUGCGGGUCUGCAGUCGAUACGGGCAGGCUAGAGUUCGGUAGGGGAGACUGGAAUUCCUGGUGUAGCAGUGAAAUGCGUAGAUAUCAGGAGGAAUACCGAUGGCGAAGGCAGGUCUCUGGGCUGACACUGACGCUCAUGCACGAAAGCGUGGGGAGCGAACAGG